UCGUAACGGAAAGGCCCACACUUAGCUGCCGUACUCUGAUUGACGAACGGAGUGAAUUACACACUGGGUGAUCUGCCCUGCACUCUGGGAUAAGCCUCGCGCAAACUGGGUCUAAUACCGGAUAUGACCAACUGUCGCAUGGUGGCUGGUGGAAAGCUUUUGCGGUGUGGGAUGGGCCCGCGGCCUAUCAGCUUGUUGGUGGGGUAAUGGCCUACCAAGGCGACGACGGGUAGCCGACCUGAGAGGGUGAUCGGCCACACUGGGACUGAGACACGGCCCAGACUCCUACGGGAGGCAGCAGUGGGGAAUAUUGCACAAUGGGCGCAAGCCUGAUGCAGCGACCCCGCGUGAGGGAUGACGGCCUUCAGGUUGUAAACCUCUUUCACCAGGGACGAAGCGGAAGUGACGGUACCUGGAGAAUAAUCACCGGCCAACUACGUGCCAGCAGCCGCGGUAAUACGUAGGGUGCGAGCGUUGUCCGGAAUUACUGGGCGUAAAGAGCUCGUAGGCGGUUUGUCGCGUCGUCUGUGAAAUUCUGCAACUCAAUUGCAGGCGUGCAGGCGAUACGGGCAGACUUGAGUACUACAGGGGAGACUGGAAUUCCUGGUGUAGCGGUGAAAUGCGCAGAUAUCAGGAGGAACACCGGUGGCGAAGGCGGGUCUCUGGGUAGUAACUGACGCUGAGGAGCGAAAGCUUGGGUAGCGAACAGGAUUAGAUACCCUGGUAGUCCACGCCGUAAACCGUGGGUACUAGGUGUGGGUUCCUUUUCACGGGAUCCGUGCCGUAGCUAACGCAUUACGUACCCCGCCUGGGGAGUACUGCCGCAAGGCUCAAACCUCAAAGGAAUUGACGGGGGCCCGCACAAAGGGGCGGAACAUGUGGAUUUAUUUCGAUGCAACCCCGAAAAACUUUACCGGGGUUUGAAAUACACCAAACCCGGGCUAGAGAUAGUCCUUUCCUUUUUGGUUUGGUGUUCCAGGGGGGUGCAUGGGCUUGUCCU
rnacentral:rRNA from 1 species